rnacentral:tRNA from 1 species
GCCGGCUUAGCUCAGUUGGUAGAGCAGCUGAUUUGUAAUCAGAAGGUCGCGGGUUCGAUUCCUGCAGUCGGCACCA